GACGAACGCUGGCGGCGUGCUUAACACAUGCAAGUCGAACGGAAAGGCCCUGCUUGCAGGGUACUCGAGUGGCGAACGGGUGAGUAACACGUGGGUGAUCUGCCCUGCACUUCGGGAUAAGCUUGGGAAACUGGGUCUAAUACCGGAUAGGACCGCACUUUAGUGUGUGUGGUGGAAAGUUUUUUCGGUGUAGGAUGAGCUCGCGGCCUAUAAGCUUGUUGGUGGGGUAAUGGCCUACCAAGGCGGCGACGGGUAGCCGGCAUGAGAGGGUGUACGGCCAGAUUAGACCUGUGAGGGAGGCCGGAGUGCGGAAGGAGGCAGCAGUGGGGAAUAUUUGACAAAGCGAUCAAGCGUGAUGGAGGGAGGCCGCGUGGGGGAUGAAGGCUUUGGGGUUGUAAGAACCGUUGGCGGGGGACAAAGCUUUGUUGUGACGGUACCUAGAGAAGAAGCACCGGCUAACUACGUG
rnacentral:rRNA from 1 species